UCAACUAUCAAGCCUGGCUUGUUAUUGGACUUCUGUGGCUGAAACAUGUGGCAGGUCCGAAAAAUAAUGACGGUGUCGUGUUUGACCCUAGAUGCAACGAGCUUUUUAUAGCAAGCAUUGAAGUGGUCGACCGGCCUGGUCUCAACUAUCAAUUUCUAA
rnacentral:misc_RNA from 1 species